AGUGAACGCUGGCGGUAGGCCUAACACAUGCAAGUCGAACGGCAGCACAGUAAGAGCUUGCUCUUACGGGUGGCGAGUGGCGGACGAGUGAGGAAUACAUCGGAAUCUACUUUUUCGUGGGGGAUAACGUAGGGAAACUUACGCUAAUACCGCAUACGACCUACGGGUGAAAUCAGGGGAUCUUCGGACCUUGCGCGAUUGAAUGAGCCGAUGUCGGAUUAGCUAGUUGGCGGGGUAAAGGCCCACCAAGGCGACGAUCCGUAGCUGGUCUGAGAGGAUGAUCAGCCACACUGGAACUGAGACACGGUCCAGACUCCUACGGGAGGCAGCAGUGGGGAAUAUUGGACAAUGGGCGCAAGCCUGAUCCAGCCAUACCGCGCGGGUGAAGAAGGCCUUCGGGUUGUAAAGCCCUUUUAUUGGGAAAGAAAAGCAGCAGGUUAAUACCCCGCUGUUCUGACGGUACCCAAAGAAUAAGCACCGGCUAACUUCGUG
rnacentral:rRNA from 1 species